GGACAUUGGCGAGUAAUAUGCUCAGAAUCGGUGGAUGGUGUGCUCGCCUUCUAAGUCUGACCAGUAGGCCGCUCCGUCUGCCUCUCCUGCGGCGACCGCGUUGUUUUGGAUCGUCCUCUGGGAUAAGAUCCCAUGUCCAGGGUGGAGGUCCGAACAAUGGAUUCACUUCGGGAAAGUUGUAUUCCUGGUUGUAAUAUUGUUACCCCUGCUCUGACUCUGGUCCCUGUCUCCAGUUCCACGUCUCGUCAUCCUGCUACUUUUUCCUGGAUUCCCCACUCUACUACUCCCUUGGAUUCCCCUCCGGACCUGCUUACCCUGUCCCAACCCCUCUCGCUCCAGCCUUAGCCUCCGCACCUGGUUUCCUGCAACCCACCCGAACUUCCCCUGGCCUGCACUCCAUCUUCCCCCUGUGUUUAAAUAAAUACCUUGGUUACUUCA